CGGUUGAUCCUGCCGGAGGACAUUGCUAUUGGGAUUCGAUUUAGCCAUGCUAGUCGAACGAGUUCACACUCGUGGCACAUAGCUCAGUAACACGUGGCCAAGCUACCCUUCAGUCGGCAAUACCCUCGGGAAACUGAGGCUAAUAGCCGAUACGAAACAGACGCUGGAAUGCACUGUAUUCCAAAGACAUCGCUGAAGGAUGCGACUGCGGCCGAUUAGGUAGACGGUGGGGUAACGGCCCACCGUGCCAGUAAUCGGUACGGGUGAUGAGAGUCAGAGCCCGGAGACGGAAUCUGAGACAAGAUUCCGGGCCCUACGGGGCGCAGCAGGCGCGAAACCUUUACACUGCACGAAAGUGCGAUAGGGGAAUCCCAAGUGCGAGGGCAUAUUAGCCCUCGCUUUUGUUGACUCUAAGGCGGUCAACGAAUAAGAGCUGGGCAAGACCGGUGCCAGCCGCCGCGGUAAUACCGGCAGCUCAAGUGAUGUCCCAUAUUAUUGGGCCUAAAGCGUCCGUAGCUGGCCGCGCAAGUCCGUCGGGAAAUCCACCUGCCCAACAGGUGGGCGUCCGGCGGAAACUGUGUGGCUUGGAACCGGAAGGCUCAGAGAGUACGUCCGGGGUAGGAGUGAAAUCCCGUAAUCCCGGACGGACUACCGAUGGCGAAAGCACUCUGAGAAGACGGCUUCGACAGUGAGGGACGAAAGCUCGGGUCUCAAACCGGAUUAGAUACCCCGGUAGUC
rnacentral:rRNA from 1 species